GACGAAUGCUGGCGGCGUGCUUAACACAUGCAAGUCGAGCGAGGCCCCUCCUUCGGGAGGGUGUCCUAGCGGCGAACGGGUGAGUAACACGUGGGCAACCUGCCCUCAGCUCUGGGAUAACUCCGGGAAACCGGGGCUAAUACCGGAUACGACCUCCACGGGCAUCUGCGGAGGUGGAAAGUUUUUCGGCUGAGGAUGGGCCCGCGGCCUAUCAGCUAGUUGGUGGGGUAGUGGCCCACCAAGGCGACGACGGGUAGCCGGCCUGAGAGGGCGACCGGCCACACUGGGACUGAGACACGGCCCAGACUCCUACGGGAGGCAGCAGUGGGGAAUAUUGCGCAAUGGGCGAAAGCCUGACGCAGCGACGCCGCGUGAGGGACGAAGGCCUUCGGGUUGUAAACCUCUUUCAGCAGGGACGAAGCGAAAGUGACGGUACCUGCAGAAGAAGCACCGGCCAACUACGUG
rnacentral:rRNA from 1 species